UUUAAAAGUUAUUCUUAAGGCAUUUGAUAGCAUAUUUUUGAUUGCAUGCCCCAGCAAAGAGGAAUCACUAAACUUUAGGUCAGUAGAUUUCUUUCUCUUCCUAUAAUUCAGUUUGGCAGCAUCUUCCAUUCUAAGUUAACCUAAAUACUUUAGUAAUAAAGACUUACAUGUAUCUAAUUAGAUAGUCAGCUUUACUUAAUCUUCUUAAUCAUCUAGAUUAGAUGUUAAGUGAAAAAAUAUUUUGUGCCUACAGAAAUUAAGAUUCGGAAAGAACAGUAGCACAUACAUGCUAUCAACAUCUGUGUCAUAACUCAUAUGGAAUCUGGAUUUGCGCUACUUGGGGAACAGGUAGUGUCUGCUAGAGAAGUGGUGUGACAGAAACAUGGGCAAAGGCAGGGUGUGUCUUUUGUAAAUGAUGAAAACAGAAGAUUAAAAACAAGUUUGCUAAAUCAUGUUCAUAACCACUCCCUGGAGAGCAAUUACUCUGAUUACUCGACUUACCUGGUAAGUACCACCCACUGUAGGAGAAAAUACAGAUGUUUGGUUCACUGUUAUGGGUUUCCCCAUGUGCAAAGGUGUUAUGCUGCUGCUAUGCUCGUCUUUAAACACUGUAGUAGCAGUUACUGAAGAAUGGUAGAGUAAGGGGUGCCCUCACAGCUGUCAACUCACUGUGUGAUCCAGACGAGUAACGUAGCCUGGUCGCAAGCUCCAAGGUUACUUAUCUUUAGUGGAGGGGAUAGUUCUAGUUUCCAGUGUUAUCACGACUAGUAAAAUUGAUAUUAUAAAAUCCACUUCUCAGUAAGGAAGGCAGUUUGAAAGCGUUCUUGUUGUGAGAAGCAUGACAAAUACAGGCAGUUCUAUGGACAGUGUUUAUGUAAAACAAAUUAUUGAAUAGCCAUUUGAACAUUAACUGUUGCCCAGUGUGUUAUAAU
rnacentral:lncRNA from 1 species